UACGUAGGCAGCAAGCGUUGUUAGGAAUUACUGGGCGUAAAGAGUGUGUAGGCGGUGUUCUAAGUCUGUUGUGAAAUCUCCCGGCUCAACUGGGAGGGUGCGCCGAAGACUGGAAGGCUUGAGUGCCGGAGAGGAUAGCGGAAUUCCUGGUGUAGCGGUGAAAUGCGUAGAUAUCAGGAGGAACACCUGUGGUGUAGACGGCUUUCUGGACCGCAACUGACGCUGAGACACGAAAGCGUGGGUAGCAAACAGG
rnacentral:rRNA from 1 species